rnacentral:rRNA from 1 species
CCUACGGGUGGCAGCAGUGAGGAAUAUUGGUCAAUGGGCGCGAGCCUGAACCAGCCAAGUCGCGUGAGGGAUGAAGGGCCUACGGGUUGUAAACCUCUUUUAUAAGGGAAUAAAGUGUGGGACGUGUCCCAUUAUGUAUGUACCUUAUGAAUAAGGAUCGGCUAACUACGUGCCAGCAGCCGCGGUAAUACGGAGGAUCCGAGCGUUAUCCGGAUUUAUUGGGUGUAACGGGGGCGUAGACGGCGUUGUAAGUCAGUGGUGAAAGUCUGGGGCUCAACCCUGGAAUUGAGGUUGAGACUGGGUGGCUUGAGUACAGGUGAGGCAGGCGGAAUGCGUGGUGUAGCGGUGAAAUGCUUAGAUAGCACGAAGAACACCGAUUGCGAAGGCAGCCUGCUAGACUGUCACUGACGUUGAUGCACGAAAGCGUGGGGAGCAAACAGGAUUAGAUACCCCUGUAGUC